GAGUUCCUCAACUGCAUCUGAUGGUUCACCUCUCUUGCGUAGAUCCGUCACAGCCCUUUUUCACCCGCCAGGGCUCCCGACAAGAAAAGAAAGACUGGAGAGCAGAGGUUGGAGAACAAGGGGACACGGAGACUUCCUCAGCCGGGACCUGAGUGUUCCUGCUCCGCCCUGAGCAGAGCAGCACAGCGUCCAUGCUCGCCCUUCCCGACUCCCCAACACUAGCCUGAGGUGAGGGCGCUUCCUUUCGGCCUGCACAGUGUUUCUGACGGCGACGAAUAAAAUACUACUCUACAGCGGACCUGCGACUGACUCGCAGCAACCUAAAGUCCGGGCGUGACCCAGGGGUGGAGGAUGAAGCGACUGCGACAUUUACCUCACCCUUCUCCGGCCUGGCCGCUUCCGGCCUUUCCGGGUCGCCCAUCGCGCAGACUCCACCAGAGCCACCCGAGCUGAGGAACUGAGCGCGGCCGACCAAAUCCUAGUAGGAUCAGAUCGUCCUGUGCGAACCUCCUCCUGCUCCGGGCACGCCUUGCCGCGCCGGUCCUGGGUUCUAGCCGGCCCAUUGAGGGGCCUUCUCUGCGGUGGCUCCGCCCAGGCACGCUACUCUCGGCGCCUGAAAGAUCCGCCUUUCCUGCCGGCCCCGCCCCACUGCCUAGAGAUCCGCCUACCUCAGCCGGCUCCACCCAGCGUCUCAGAGAUCCGCCUACCUCAGCCGGCCCCGGCCCGCCCCGCCAGAGAUCCGCCUACCUCAGCUGGCCCCGCCCCUCGCCGCCGAACUCUGCUUCCUCGGCUGGCCCGCUUCUCUUCACUGAGCAGGGUCCCCACUCCGGCGACGGCUGCGUAAGUUCAGUCCGCAGUACCAGAGCACUUCAAGCCUGUUCUUUAGCGUCGCAUGACCCCGCCCACUCUUGCUCCCCCAGCUUCCGCGCUGUUGCCCAGCCUGUCAUCUGCUCUGAAUUCUAGAGCGUCUACUGGAAUUUGCAGUCUGCCUACUUGUGCCAGACUACCUGGUACACGAGGUGACUGGCACGCCGGGACAUUCCCUAGCCCUCGUGGUGCCCCAGCGACACGGUAGGUUGCACCCAGUCAGUCCAAGAGACUGCCAGAGUGGCUGUAGAGCUGCCCACUGGAUGGGAUGUGGAAAGCAGGGUGGGAGGUCGACACUGUUAAAAACUCCAAGGAGAAAGGAACUCUUGUAUUUCAGCAACCAAAAGGAGAAACUGGAGGGGGAAAGUGUGUGCGUGAAUGGAGCUUGAGAAUGAGUAGGAAAAAUAGCUAAAUCCUGGGAAAUACCUUGAAGUCUUUGUGAUUGUUUAACUGAGUAAUAUUUAUUGAACUUUCACAACCUGAUAGGUUCUAUUCUGCUAAGCCCUUUAUGUGAAUUAAUCUUUGAGAUAUUUCCCUGUAGUCGAUACUGCAAUUUUCAUGUUCCAGAUUAAACUGAACCCGAAGAUAAAUAGCCAAGAUUAAGCAACCAAAAUACGGUAGACUCCAAUAUCCUUGCUACGGAUACUUUUCAAAGCAAAGGUUAAAGUUGUAAAGAGAUUCAACACUUUUGUAUUGCAAGGGCCAAAGACAGUGAAUAAUGAUGGUGGCAAUACUCUUGGUUGAAUUGCUUCUAUGUUUUCAGCAUAUGGUACAUAUAUGGUAGUACGACAGAAAAAUAUAAUGAGCGGGAUGGGACUGUAGCUCAUUAGGUGAUGAUGUACAAGGCCUUGGGUUCAAUCCCCAGCACUACCCCUUCUUGUAUACAAACACAAAUAAGAUAUACAAAUUAAAUAAUAAUAUGGUGAAAGAAGAGUUGAGUAUGGUAUUGAACACCUCUGAUCCCAGCAUCUUGGAUAGGAGCAGGAGGAUCGUGAAACCAAGGUCGUCUUGGGCUAGAUGGGAAGAUCCAGUCUCAAAGCCAAAAACCAAAAACGUGAAAAAGAAGUAAGAGAUUUUCAGUAGAUUCUGGAAAGAGCCUUGUUAUGACUUCAACAUCUGGCAACUGCUUGGUGGUUAGCCUCUAAAAUAGAAAGCAGGAUAGAAAUUUUGCUUUAAGCUCUAAAGCUUAAUUAACCUGAAGCGAGUUAUCUUUCUUGGAGCAAUAUGAUCAAAUGCUGAGUAAAAACUUUUUAUAUAUUAUAAAGUUUUCUGGGAGGAAAGUCAUUCUCACAAAAGAUAACUUACCAAAGAUUGCAUAGCAAAUAAACUACAAACAAGGAUUCAUUCAUUCAAAGUCAUCAAAACAAUACAUCUCAAAGCAUUUUUUAAGAGUAAUUCUGCAUGAAGGCACGGAAGAGCAUUUAGAUGCAGAUAAGGCGACCUGCUUAAUAGUCCCUGAAAUGUGUUAUUUUGGAAGGAAAUGAAUGCUUAGCGUGGCACAGAAUUCCAGUCUGCUUCCUCAAGUAAGUAAUAUGAGGAAUCCCAAGUAACCCUCCCUUCUCAGAGCACAGACAUGGAGAUGCAUUCCUUCAGUGCUUUCCUGAUGCUCCAUUUGUAUUGAUUUCUUACAACUUUCACAGCUCUGUUCAAUUAGGUCUCUUCAGCUUGCUGAAGAGUUCCACGUGGUCUUCUCACAGGGCAGACAGUAUCUCCCAACCCUCCACUCAGCUGAGUGUGGAUACUGGACAGCACUUUCCCUCUAGUACCUGGAAGAACCUGUUUGGACCUACACUAAAGCAAGGAGACGACUUUAAAAAUGUUUUUAAAGUAUAUGAAUAUUAUAUCUCUGUGUGUGUAGGUAACUAUGGAGUUCAGAAAAGGGUACUGAAUGCCUUGGAGCUGGAGAUACAGGGUACUUGGAAACUUGUAUCUUCUGCAAAAGCAGCUAAUCACCCCAAAUUUGAAGCAGUGGGGACCUCUGUCCUUGGUGCUGAUGUUACUCACAGUAGUCCAAGAGACCAAGAUAAAUCAACUUUUUAUUUUCCAUCACUUCUCAGCCCCUGAGAGACUGAAGUACAAAAGUAACCAAAGACUAAGCUAUAAGCAGUGGUCAUAAACAAAUGCCAUUUUGAUUUCAGAAGCAGACAAGACAGAAAUCACUCCUCUUGCUUAGCUUCACUGAGAGUUGGCUUUCCUAGUAUCGUGGCUUCUCUUCUACCCUGACCUUGAUUCUUUAGCCCAUUCAGAAAGACCUCCAGUGGAGAGGAGGGUUACAUAUUUGGAAGUGUAGAGAUUAGAGCCAAUUUGAAUAGGCUGUGUGCAGAAGAGUGCAAGCAUCACAUAAGGCAAUGGGAAUACAAGAAAGAAUGAGUUAAUAGUUUUAAACAUCAUCUUCCUAGGGUGGGAGAGAUGGCUCAGCUGUUAAGAGCACCAACUGCUCUUUCUAGGUUCAAUUCCCAGCUCCCACUUGGAGGCUAACAACCUUCUGUAACUUAGUUCCAAGGGACCUAACACACUCUUCUGUGCUCCAUGGGCACUGCAUACAUGCAGUACAGACAUACAUAUAACAUACGUACAUACAUACAUACAUACAUACAUACAUACAGGCAAAACACCAAUAUAGAUAGAAUAAGUCUAUUAAAAAGUGGGGGGCAUCUGUGUAAAUGCCUUCACCAGUGAGCAGCUGUGAAGGAUAUUAAAUCAGUAAAUGAGUGAUAUUAACUACAGGUUUAAAAACAUACAGGUAGCUAGGGAAUCAACAAAGCCUUUGGCAAUGGAUUCUUAGUAGGCAGAAGAGUUCCGUUCUAAACUGGACAGCUGAUUGUGCUUCAGUCUAGAAGUGUGGCUCAGCCUUGUAUUUGCUGUUGUAGCUGUGACAUUGUCAAAGCCAUAUUGAAUAAAGCACUUAGCUCAAAUGAAUCAGCAGUCAAUAAUACAGACUGUCUGCUUUAGUUUCAAGAACUGUAUGAAGAACAUUUUCCCACAGAAAUAUUUUAGGCACUGGCACAUCCAGGAUAACCACCAGACAAAGGAAGUGAACAUAGUCCUAAGUUAACGUUGGUCAUCACAAUUCAUUAAUUCAAAAAUGUUAGGUGACCAAGAUUGUGGCUUGAGUUUGCUCCCUGGAACUCACAUAAGGCAGGAGAACCAAAUCCACAAAAUUGUCUUUGAACUUCUUCAUCUGUGUAUUUCAGAUUAAAGACCUUUUAGGACACAGCUUUGGGUAUACUGGGUCUUAAACUCAGCGUUUCACACAUUCUAAAUCAUGUAUUUAUGUUCUACACUACUGCCUUCUUUCAGAGUAUAUGGAAUGUUUUAGUCAAGCUAUUAUACUGAAGCAGAUGUUAGCCUUUGAACUCAAACACACUAAUGUUCAAAUAAUUUAGACCAGUCUAGUGUUACAAAAUGUUUCUCAUAACCAGCGCCUGUGCCACAUUUCUGAACGUUCAUUGCCUUCCUGGCCCUAAGUUUGCUACUUCUACUUACAUGGGGCAGGAAUCUGGUGCUCACACUCCACACCUAUACAUUUACUCUGGCACUUGCUCAGUGCCUUAUUUUUAUUUACUCACUACCCCAAUCCGUUUCUUGAUAGGUGAAGAUAUGUUUUCCUGAGGGCAGAAUUUUUCUAAUAAAAUAUGGCAAAAUGUGUUGAUUCCCUAAAUUAAUAUGGUAGUAUAUAGUCACUAAGCCUUCCAUUUCUGUAGGCUAUGAUUCCAAGAGACAAAUGAAAAAACAGCUGGCUACCUAGGCGCAUGAGACACUUUAGGCUAAUGUGUGACUAUACAUAAAGUGUGCCUGUCUAACUAUUAGCAUUCAGACUGGGCACACGAAUGUGCUUCACUAUUCGGAUUUGUAGGGAGCAGGGGAUACAUGCCAAGGAGCAAAUGGAGAAGCCACAAGACAAUUUGUACUUGGCUCUCCUACCUGUGGGUUCUGAAGAUCAAAUUCAGAUCAUCCAGCAAGGCAGUCAGUGUUUUUACCCAUCGAGCCAUCUUUUUGAGUUUGCAGUCCUUUUAAUUUUAUGAGAACUUAGAACAAAUUCAUUUCAUUGUAUACUUUUCAUUUUAAUACUGAGAUUUAAAUGGAUAUAUCAUGACUAAGAGCAUGUCUGCAUCGUCAAAAUUCCUGAGACCACUGGAAAAAUACUCAAGGAGAAGCUUUUAAAUCUUUAGCAAGCUUAUGAGUCACUACUUUUUCAAAGUGGCAAAAUCAGAGCAUCAGGAUGGUCUAAGGCACCAGACUGAAUAUAAUGAAGCUAGAACCUUACUGGCACAUGUCAUCAGUCUCUAACUGACUUGCACCACCAUACCUUCAACAAAAUAAAUACUGCAGUCCAAUGUUAGGAAUGCAAGCUCCAUAGUGUCUGUGAUAGAACAGAUCAGUUUAGCAUUUAACGGGUAGAUAACCUUCAUUAAAUCAGUUCCCCGAGGACAGCAAGGAGACAUAUUCGUGUUUUUAAAUAAAAUCAUAUUGUAAAUACAUUUGUGUGGUAACAAUUUGUGUGUAAAUAAAUUUAAUAGUAUUUUAAGUUUUAUCUGUAUAUUCAUACCCAUUUUAGUUGAUGUAAACACUACCCACACAGUCCAUUAAAGGCAUAUUCAUCUAGCCCUGAUCAAGUGAGAGCCACAAAUGAUCAACAGUUUCACUCUUUUCACGGAUUCGAAGUUGAGAAGGCCUGGCUUUAAGUAAAUUUUCAGUGGACUUAUAUUCAUGUGUUAAAUGGAAUGCUCUUUGGGCUGAGUUUCAGAGUUCACCAAGAUGCUGCUCUAUUAUAAAGACUGCUGGCUUCCACCAUUUAGUGUUAUCAGAAAACUGACCAGGGAAGAUUAAAAUUUUAGCUUGAGUCUUACAGUUGUUACAUUUAUUAAAGCAAACCUAUCU
rnacentral:lncRNA from 1 species